UACGUAGGGUGCGAGCGUUAAUCGGAAUUACUGGGCGUAAAGCGUGCGCAGGCGGUUUUGUAAGGCAGGUGUGAAAUCCCCGGGCUCAACCUGGGAAUGGCAUUUGGGACUGCAAGGCUGGAGUGCGGCAGAGGAGACUGGAAUUCAUGGUGUAGCAGUGAAAUGCGUAGAGAUCAUGAGGAAGACCAGUGGCGAAGGCGGGUCUCUGGACAGUUCCUGACACUGAGGCACGAAGGCCAGGGGAGCAAACGGG
rnacentral:rRNA from 1 species